UACGGAGGGGGCUAGCGUUGUUCGGAAUUACUGGGCGUAAAGCGCACGUAGGCGGCUUUGUAAGUUAGAGGUGAAAGCCCGGGGCUCAACUCCGGAAUUGCCUUUAAGACUGCAUCGCUAGAAUUGUGGAGAGGUAAGUGGAAUUCCGAGUGUAGAGGUGAAAUUCGUAGAUAUCAGUCGGAACACCAGUGGCGAAGGCGGCUCACUGGCCCGAUACUGACGCUG
rnacentral:rRNA from 1 species